rnacentral:rRNA from 1 species
GAAUUUCACUAGUGAUUAGAGUUUGAUCCUGGCUCAGGAUGAACGCUGGGCGGUCUGCCUAACACAUGCAAGUCGAACGGGACCUUUCGGGGUCUAGUGGCGGACGGGUGAGUAACGCGUGAGAACCUGCCUUCGGGAUGGGGACAACGGCUGGAAACGACCGCUAAUUCCCAAUAAGCCGAGAGGUAAAAAGAGAAUCGCCUGAAGAGGGGCUCGCGUCUGAUUAGCUAGUUGGUGGGGUAAAGGCUUACCAAGGCAGCGAUCAGUAGCUGGUCUGAGAGGAUGAGCAGCCACACUGGGACUGAGACACGGCCCAGACUCCUACGGGAGGCAGCAGUGGGGAAUUUUCCGCAAUGGGCGCAAGCCUGACGGAGCAAGACCGCGUGAGGGAGGAAGGCCUUUGGGUUGUAAACCUCUUUUCUCAGGGAAGAAGACAGUGACGGUACCUGAGGAAUCAGCCUCGGCUAACUCCGUGCCAGCAGCCGCGGUAAUACGGAGGAGGCAAGCGUUAUCCGGAAUUAUUGGGCGUAAAGCGUCCGCAGGUGGUUGUUCAAGUCCGCUGUCAAAGACCGGGGCUUAACCCUGGAGAGGCAGUAGAAACUGAACAACUAGAGGUCGGUAGGGGUAGAGGGAAUUCCCAGUGUAGCGGUGAAAUGCGUAGAGAUUGGGAAGAACACCAGUGGCGAAAGCGCUCUACUGGGCCGACUCUGACACUCAGGGACGAAAGCUAGGGGAGCGAAAGGGAUUAGAUACCCCUGUAGUCCUAGCCGUAAACGAUGA